rnacentral:rRNA from 1 species
UCAGAUUGAACGCUGGCGGUAUGCUUAACACAUGCAAGUCGAACGGUAACAGAACUAGCUUGCUAGUUGCUGACGAGUGGCGGACGGGUGAGUAACGCGUAGGAAUCUGCCUAGUAGUGGGGGACAACCUGGUGAAAACCAGGCUAAUACCGCAUACGCCCUACGGGGGAAAGCGGGGGAUCUUCGGACCUCGCGCUAUUAGAUGAGCCUGCGUUAGAUUAGCUAGUUGGUGGGGUAAAGGCCUACCAAGGCGACGAUCUAUAGCUGGUCUGAGAGGACGAUCAGCCACACUGGGACUGAGACACGGCCCAGACUCCUACGGGAGGCAGCAGUGGGGAAUAUUGGACAAUGGGCGCAAGCCUGAUCCAGCAAUACCGCGUGUGUGAAGAAGGCCCGAGGGUUGUAAAGCACUUUCAAUUGGGAGGAAAAGUUUAGUGUUAAUAGCACUGAACCUUGACGUUACCUUUAGAAGAAGCACCGGCUAACUCCGUGCCAGCAGCCGC